rnacentral:lncRNA from 1 species
CUGAGGCAAAAGGAUCACAGAUGCUGCUCGGGGCCAGCCCUAUACUCCCUCCAGUGCCUGGUCUCCGGUGGACCCGCGGGGCUCUGCAGUUCUCUGGCGGCCGCGCCUUGUAAGCGCUAAGCCGGGAGGAGGGCGCAGGCAGGGCGCACAGCUCUGAGCGCGACCCUACCCGGCUCGGGCCCGCAGCAACCCCGACUGUCCGAGAGCCUCUCCCCAAGCAAGGCUCUGCGCCGCCCUCUGAGCCCACCUCCUGGCCACAACGCUGCCUGCGCUUCUCCAGCCCAGGCCGGAAGCCCUAUGCUGCCUCCCGAAGCCGGACUUUCUGGAAGCCCAUCUUCGUAUGCUCACCAGCCCACCCUCCUACGCUGGUCAGAGUGAGAUUGCUAACCUCAAGACCCCAUUCAAUGCCAGCUUUCAACUACUGCUGAAGACCAAUGUAGGUCCUGGAAUAGAAGAACUGCAGAGUAUCCGGAGCUGGCCGACCCCAGACUGAUUCUCAACAGGUGGCUGGUGAUCAGAGGAGAAUCGCCAGGCUGAGGGGGAAGCAAGGAACAUAUGGACCCAAGUAGGAUCCUGAAAGAAUUUCGAGAAGCUCCGAGCCCAAAUCAUACAGGCCCUAAGUAUUGGUCAAUCACCAGGAGUGAAACAGAAACUUAGACCACACACUCAAGUCCUGUUUCUGAAUGAGGGGCUCAAGUGCUAGGCCACAAGUGGCCGCUAUGGAUGCUGCAUUGUGGAGUCCCACCUGAUCCCUCCUUCAACCACGCACCUCAGACUGCAAGGAGAGCUAGAUGAGAAGGAGCUGGGGCUCUUGCGAUCUGCAGAGGCAGCACGCUGGUCAGGAAGAACCCAGAACACCUGCCUCAGACACAGCCAGUCUGUCCACACACAAAAGGCAGGGCUGAGGGGCUAUUAAGUCAAACCUGGAGUCACAGCCCCAAUGUCCUCAGACAGUCCCCAACCCUCUGCAGCAAUGUGGACAUGUGUCAGUGUGGCUGAAAAGCUUCUUCUCUGAGCUUUAACAACUUUCUGGUGUAACUUCUGAGAGGGCUGAUUGCUUAUUCAUGUGGAAGCAAGACGCCCAGUCCGUUUUGCCUGUUUUUGCUACUCUUUGUUGUCUCGGGGGGAGUGUUAUGGUAGCUGCAAAUGGCUUCUCCCGUGACAUUUGCUGACAUUCAGUGAAGUACAUUUAUCAGCGCUCGCGAGCUCACCUCCGCACAUGCAAUCCAUUUUGUUUUGUUCUUCAUGGUAACCCCCUUCCCAACACCCGUGCCCUGAAAAUGAUGAAGGGCAGGCGGCGCAUUUCUCAAGCUGCACUCAAAUGUCACUGUGAAAAAUCUUUAAUGGACUAAGUGUAGCUUUUCACGUUACAACUUGUCAGGUACUGAGAAAUUCUAGAGUUUCUCCUUAAUCCACGAGUCAUUGGAACCACACAUCUGCAGGUAGAGACUAAUUAUAAGCUGUACCAGUCAGAACUGGGCAAGCAGAGACCAAGGAGAAAACAUUAGGUCUCAGUUAAUUCUUUAUUACUAUCAUUAUUAUUAUCAUUAUCAUUAUCAUUAUUAUUCUCAUUCCACUUUUUUGCUACUUCGUCUCCUACUCAGAGAAUAUGCCAGGUAUGAGCAAUCUGUUACUCUAAUUAAUUGAGUGACAGCCCCCAACUAGCUCUCCAUGCAGGCUUACCGUCUCUACGCACUCAGCUUUCUCAGUAACAUUUUUCAUCUUUCCCUCCAACGUAUCUGACUCUGAAUCAUAAUCCUGGUCCCUUAGGGUUGGCCAUGACGGAGCCGUUGAGAGGAACUGAGAUGUGUCCCAUCUCCUGUCCACCUAGUUAUCCCUCAUCGGAGGGCAUGGCAUUGGAGCCCAGAGAUUCACAUCACCAACGUGUAAGCCUGCAUUUUCCUCCCUUGCCCCGCACCUGGUCGGAGCAGUGCCACCCACACUCACAGUGGUGGCCUACAGACUCCCUCUAAGCCUUGCAUAGGGUUUGCUCGGUCUGGUUUUACCCCUUUGAAUGGACUCAGCUCAGUGGUUGUUCUUCAUGGGUGAAUCAGCCCACACUCUAAUGGCCAUGGCUUCUAUGUUCUGCCCCUGCUUCUCGGUUCACAGGCAGGAACCUCAUCACCCAUGUGUUACUGUUACGAUGGGUUCUCUGGAAUGCUGCUAGCUCAUUCAGGUGAAACCAUCAUCACCACCAUCAUCAUCAUCAUCACGAUCAUCAUAUUCUAUUUAUAUGAGCACACUGUAGCUGUCUUCAGACACACCAGAAGAGGGCAUUGGAUCCCAUUACGGGUAGUUGUGAGCACCAUUGCUCACAAUUGCUGGGAACUGAACUCAGGACCUCUGCAAGAGCAGUCAGUGCUCUUAACGGCUGAGCCAUCUCUCCAGCCCUGCAGGUGGAAUUUUAGGAGCAAGCUUCAGAGAGAUAUCUUGUUCCCUUCCACAAUGUAAACUAGAAAGUAGGAUCUCACAAACAUGGACUCUGCCAGGCUCGUGACCUUCAAACUCUAGAACUGUUCAGAAUAAAAUUCUGUUCCUUAUAAGGUA